GAUGAACGCUAGCUACAGGCUUAACACAUGCAAGUCGAGGGGCAGCAUUUUAGUUUGCUUGCAAACUAAAGAUGGCGACCGGCGCACGGGUGAGUAACACGUAUCCAACCUGCCGAUAACUCGGGGAUAGCCUUUCGAAAGAAAGAUUAAUAUCCGAUAGUAUAUUAAAACCGCAUGGUUUUACUAUUAAAGAAUUUCGGUUAUCGAUGGGGAUGCGUUCCAUUAGUUUGUUGGCGGGGUAACGGCCCACCAAGACUACGAUGGAUAGGGGUUCUGAGAGGAAGGUCCCCCACAUUGGAACUGAGACACGGUCCAAACUCCUACGGGAGGCAGCAGUGAGGAAUAUUGGUCAAUGGACGAGAGUCUGAACCAGCCAAGUAGCGUGAAGGAUGAAGGUCCUACGGAUUGUAAACUUCUUUUAUAAGGGAAUAAACCCUCCCACGUGUGGGAGCUUGUAUGUACCUUAUGAAUAAGCAUCGGCUAACUCCGUG
rnacentral:rRNA from 1 species